AAUGGGUCAGCGACUUAUAUUCUGUAGCAAGGUUAACCGAAUAGGGGAGCCGAAGGGAAACCGAGUCUUAACUGGGCGUUAAGUUGCAGGGUAUAGACCCGAAACCCGGUGAUCUAGCCAUGGGCAGGUUGAAGGUUGGGUAACACUAACUGGAGGACCGAACCGACUAAUGUUGAAAAAUUAGCGGAUGACUUGUGGCUGGGGGUGAAAGGCCAAUCAAACCGGGAGAUAGCUGGUUCUCCCCGAAAGCUAUUUAGGUAGCGCCUCGUGAAUUCAUCUCCGGGGGUAGAGCACUGUUUCGGCAAGGGGGUCAUCCCGACUUACCAACCCGAUGCAAACUGCGAAUACCGGAGAA
rnacentral:rRNA from 1 species